GAGACCCCCCCAGACUACUGAAUCUGAAUCCUUAGAGUGGUCCAACCUUCCUCUUCAGGUGUCUACUAGAGGCAAGUGAGGCUUCUUAAGGAGUGGAGGAAAGUGGAUGUUUUCAAGUAUCUCUGCAGUUCCCAUUUCCAACCCCCAGCCUCUGGUAACCAGCAUUCUACUCUCUACUUCUG